rnacentral:pre_miRNA from 1 species
GUAGAGGAGAAGGCGCAGGGGACAGGCACUGAGACUCGGGUCCCUGGGCCCUCGCACACCGUCCUCUUCUCCCUGUCCCCAG